CGAGGAAGACCUCGAUGCCGCCGGCCCGCG
rnacentral:antisense_RNA from 1 species